rnacentral:rRNA from 1 species
CCUACGGGGGGCAGCAGUGAGGAAUAUUGGUCAAUGGGAGAGAUCCUGAACCAGCCAAGCCGCGUGAGGGAAGACGGCCCUAUGGGUUGUAAACCUCUUUUGUCGGAGAACAAAACCCGGGACGUGUCCCGGACUGCGUGUAUCCGAAGAAAAAGCAUCGGCUAACUCCGUGCCAGCAGCCGCGGUAAUACGUAGGGGGCAAGCGUUAUCCGGAAUUACUGGGUGUAAAGGGAGCGUAGACGGUGAAGUAAGUCUGGAGUGAAAGGCGGGGGCCCAACCCCCGGACUGCUCUGGAAACUAUUUUC